rnacentral:rRNA from 1 species
CGUGAAGAACCUGCCUUGGAGUGGGGAAUAACACAGUGAAAAUUGUGCUAAUACCGCAUAAUGCAGUUGGGUCGCAUGACUCUGACUGCCAAAGAUUUAUCGCUCUGAGAUGGCCUCGCGUCUGAUUAGCUAGUUGGUGGGGUAACGGCCCACCAAGGCGACGAUCAGUAGCCGACCUGAGAGGGUGACCGGCCACAUUGGGACUGAGACACGGCCCAA